rnacentral:lncRNA from 1 species
UUCUAGUAUAUCCUCCAUUCCUCUCUCCAUAUCUUUCGGGAACUUCAGCAAACAAUGCAUGCACUAUCUGCUUCUCAUAGAUGAACCCAAGAGCUUGCCUUCUCUUAUGAAGAGAGCCAUCCUUCGCCAUUGUGACCAUUUUGUCAACAUAUUUUCUAACCGCCCUGGCCCUCGCUUUAGUGGUCUUUAUACGCCCAUGCUUGAGGAGCUGAGUUGUGAGACCUCUCAGAAGUGCCCGACGCUGAUCAGGAGGUCUAUUCAGUUUGGGGACCUUCCUGCCAUGUCUCAUGGCAAAUACUCGGCCACCACUAUCAAUAAUGGUGAAUGAGUCCUCAAAACUUUUUGAGUCUGCAAUAUAAAUUAAAGGUAUACUUAUGGUAGAGCAAUAUAACUUCACACAGAAAUUUGAUCAUUGAGUAAUGAGAACUCAAAAUUAUAGGCAAAUUUGAUCAAAGAUGAUAAAACAACAAAUUUGGUAUAAAACAACACUAUUAGGAGAGUCACAAAUCAAGAGCUCAAUCAUAUGCUGCAGGCUGACAGGGAAAGAUGUUCACAGACUAAAAGUAGAACAUUUUCACACAAACUUAAGUACUGAUACAAGAGGCUGGUUGUGAAGAGGAAACACCAUAAUCUGGUUUGGUUCCAUCUUAAGACAAGUUUCACUAUUCCACGCAACCCAAUAUCCACAUAACAUCCGUGUCAAUGGACCAUAUAUGUCAUACAUGGUGGUUCCAUAUUUGCAUUAUAUUGUUCUCGACACCAAGAAAAACAGUAGUAGUAACUUUUUUUGUCUAUAUCGAUAAGAAAAAAUGAUUGUACUUCUCCACUUAAAAUUUCCAAAACAUCCCCCUUUCCAGUCCUUAACUCUAACAGUAGAAAUGCAAUACCAGCUGAACUAUGUAUAGGAGCUAAUCAAGAAUUCACUAUUAUAGAGUGAUAGCAACCACUUUACAUAGGAUUCCACAACUCCCCACCAGGGGUAGAGCUACAAGCCUGUCAACAUUCCAGUGCACUAAGCUCCCGCUAUGUGCGGGGUACAAGGAAGGGCUCUGAAUCACAAGGGUCUAUUAUAUGCAAUCUUACCCUGCAUUUCUGCAGGAAGCUGUCUCCACAGCUUGAACCCGUGACUUCCAGGUCACAUGGCAAAAUUUUACCAGUUACACCAAGGCUCCCCUUCGUACUUGUGCUUGUAUUUGUGGUUAAAAAUCCAGUUAAGAGUUGAUAUGUACAGAAAAAAAACUGCCUUUUCAAGAUUCUAGAACCCAUAAACUGAAAAUCUUAGCUUCGCAUAGCUUCCCACCCCUAUACACCACAAUUAACAAGAAGGGGAUUAAAAACAAAAAGGAAAAUUGGGUUUCCUUACACUAAAAGAUGCAAACUUUUGUUCAUCAAAAUUCCAUAGGGACCACUCACAGACAAUGCAACAUCAAUGAAAUUACAUUUACUAAGUAACACCCAUUGGAGUAAAACGUAAAAUGGUGGUUUAAAAUCUUGAAAAAACAUAUUUUUUGCACGAAUUGUAAUCAGAAAAAAUGCUACCUUGGGAAGAGAGGGACAAAAGUGGAUGCAGGGGAGCAAGACCCACGAAGGACUGAAUAAUUGUUGAACUGGACUUGGGUUUGCAAAUCCUGAGACGAGAUGGAGAAGACCCAGAAGAGAAUCGAAGUGAAGAGUUGGAAAUUGGUUGAAUUGAAGGAAGAGCCGAUUUCAAGCAAGACAUGCUCCAAGUUGCAGAAGCCAUAGCUUCCUAGUUUGAUAUUUUGCUUCUCUGGUUAUGUUCCGAAUGAGCUGUGGGUUUAUCUGAAUGGAUAAGUGAACUUUUAGUACCCCAAUUCUACGCUAUAUUUUUCCUCCGCCCCUCUAACUUUUGCUCUUGUCAUUUUUGUACCCCUACAUUAGAGGGGGUAGAGAGGCUGUUUCCGAUAGACCCUCCCUCGGCAAUAAGGAAUUUUUUUAUCUACCACUAUACUAUUUUUACCCUGUAUUCUCUGACCUUCCCUUUUCGACUUGAACUAUAUAUGUGAAAAAAGAAAGUUAAAAUGUGUGUAGUAGUUAUUCUUAUGCGUUACCGGUCAAAAGUGUGUUAACAAAGAGGCUGAGAUUACAAAAUGUUAUAUGAAGUAUGAAGAUCAAGUAGAUGCCUAAUGGGCCAUAAAAGAGAUAAGGAGACAAUACAGUCAAGAUUUCAAGUGUUCAUCUGUUGAGUUUCACUUCUAUUUACUAACGGUGUAAAAUAUGCGUUGCACUAUCAUGUUCAAUUGCAGCAGUUUCCAUAAAACAACUAUAUUUGAUACAAUAUGCAGAGGUCAACAACUUAAUGCUUGAAACAUAUCAAAGGGGACCAACCAAAUUAACAGUAACUGAAAAUUAAAAUUGAAUGGAAUAAUUGGUGGAACUAACAAAAUCUCUUAGUUCUCAUCAGAAUUAAGAACCAACCAAAAACAUCCUUCGAAAUGAAUAUUCAGUUGCUAGACAAGCUCGAUAUAUGCCAUUGGUGCAUUGUCCCCUCGCCUAGGUAGAGUUCUUAUUAUCCUAGUGUAUCCUCCGUUUCUCUCCCCAUAUCUUUCCGGGACUUCAGCAAACAAUGCAUGCACUAUUUGCUUCUCGUAGAUGAAUCCAAGAGCUUGCCUUCUCUUGUGAAGAGAGCCGUCCUUUGCCAUUGUGACCAUUUUGUCAACAUAUUUUCUAACUGCCCUGGCCCUUGCUUUAGUGGUCUUUAUACGCCCAUGCUUGAGGAGCUGAGUUGUCAGACCUCUCAGAAGUGCCCGACGCUGGUCAGGAGGUCUAUUCAGUUUGGGCACCUUCCUGCCAUGCCUCAUUGCAAAAACCCGGCCACCAUUAUCAAUUAUGGUGAAUGAGUUCUCGAAACUUGUUGAAUCUGCAAUACAAAUUAAAGGUGUAAUAAUGGU